UCUUUCUGGUUCACUUCUAUCUAGAAUUCUCACUCAAUAUCAUCUCUCACUCAAACCCUACUUUCUAGAUUUCUCUAAAGGUGCGCCGCCUCUCUCCUUCUUCAUUGUUCAUCCGUAUGAAACCCUAAAUUGAUGGUAGAAAAUCGUCUCUUUCCUUCCUUCUUCAUCCAUCUAAAACCCUAAAUUGAGGAUAGAAAAUCGCCUAUCUCCUUCGUGUUUCUAGUCCACAUUGCCUCCCUCAAACUCGGUGCCUCGCUCCUUUGUUCUUCACCUUAAGGCUCUGCCUCCCUCUUCGAUGAAUCUCACCCUCUCUCCUACUUCUCUCUCUGAAAUCAGUGAUUCUCUUAUCAAAUCACCAUUUUUGCCACCGUUAACGAUGAUCCCCACGGAGUCGGACACUGUGGUGUCAUAAACGCCUUUGGUGGAAUCUUUUCUUGACUCCCCGAUUUCUCAUUGGAUGCUCGGUCAGCCUUUCGGUGACACGAUGCCUCUGACUGAAUCAUCUCCAAUGUUCUGCUAUCGUUGACGGCGACCCACACAGAGUCCCUUUCAAUGUGGUCGUGGGCUUUCGAGCCGGAUACGGUGGUACCUGAAGCACCUAUAGAUCUGGUCGUGGAUGGCUUCAUCGAAGAUUAAGAAGGUCGAUCGGACAAUUGGAAUGUCUGGAGUGACGAGAUGAGGAUUCAGUACCUGCAAUUACUUGGCAUUUGGUGCCCGGGUGCCUUGGCCCUAAUUUAAUCAGGGCUGCCCCAUGGAUUUUUGUGCACGUGUUGCUGUCCAAAUACGCCAAACAGUCCUCACGUCAAUGUUGUUCCUUCUUCUUCGCACCGUACCGAAGCUUGCUUUCCUUACUGUUUUGAAGCAGCCACUGUGCUAUGUUGUUCCUCUGAAUUUCAUACAUGUUUGCUUUUUUUUUUUCCUCUGCCAUUUUGCUCUCUUUAUUUGUGUAGUGGUACUUUUGAUGUACAUGCAAAUUUGAGCCUUAAAUGAUGCUCUAUUUAUUGAUGUAUUUGGAGCAAAAAGAAGUUUGAAUUUGCCUCCAUUUUUUUGGAAUGAAAUCUGAAAAUUUGAGAGGGAAAUGAAAAUCUAAAUUUUUCA